rnacentral:rRNA from 1 species
GAAGCGGGAAAAGCUUCAAAUUUAAAAUCUGGCRGUCAUUUUCUGGCUGUCCGAGUUGUAAUCUAGAGAAGUGUUACCCGCGCUGGACCGUGUACAAGUCUCCUGGAAUGGAGCGUCAUAGAGGGUGAGAAUCCCGUCUYUGACACGGACUGCCAGGGCUUUUGUGGUGCGCUCUCAAAGAGUCGAGUUGUUUGGGAAUGCAGCUCAAAAUGGGUGGUAAAUUCCAUCUAAAGCUAAAUAUUGGCGAGAGACCGAUAGCGAACAAGUACCGUGAGGGAAAGAUGAAAAGAACUUUGGAAAGAGAGUUAAACAGUACGUGAAAUUGCUGAAAGGGAAACGCUUGAAGUCCAGUCGCGUUGGCCGGGGAUCAACCUUGCUUUUUGCUGGGUGUACUUUUUCCGGUCGACGGGUCAGCAUCAGUUUUGACCGUCGGAUAAAGUCUGGAGGAAUGUGGCAUCUUUGGAUGUGUUAUAGCCUCUGGUCGCAUACGACGGUUGGGACUGAGGAACUCAGCACGCCGAAAGGCCGGGUACUCGUACCACGUUCGUGCUUCAGGAUGCUGGCAUAAUGGCUUCAAUCGACCCGUCUUGAAACACGGACCAAGGAGUCUAACAUGCCUGCGAGUGUUUGGGUGGAAAACCCGAGCGCGCAAUGAAAGUGAAAGUUGAGAUCCCUGUCGUGGGGGAGCAUCGACGCCCGGACCAGAAGUUUACU